rnacentral:rRNA from 1 species
GAUGAACGCUAGCGGGAGGCUUAAUACAUGCAAGUCGAGCGGUAAGGUUUUCGGACCCUAGAGCGGCGAACGGGUGAGUAACGCGUACGAAACCUACCUUUAAGAGAGGGAUAGCCCUGGGAAACUGGGAGUAAUACCUCAUAGUAUUCAAUAACCGCAUGGUUUAUGGAUUAAAGCUGCGGCGCUUAAAGAUGGUCGUGCGUCUGAUUAGCUAGUUGGUAGGGUAACGGCCUACCAAGGCUACGAUCAGUAGGGGGCGUGAGAGCGUGGCCCCCCACACGGGUACUGAGACACGGACCCGACUCCUACGGGAGGCAGCAGUAAGGAAUAUUGGGCAAUGGACGGAAGUCUGACCCAGCCAUCCCGCGUGCAGGACGAAUGCCCUAUGGGUUGUAAACUGCUUUUGUUGGGAAGAAAUGUAUUCUUUUAAGAGUAUUUGACGGUACCAGACGAAUAAGCAACCGGCUAAACUCCGUG